rnacentral:rRNA from 1 species
CAUAGAGGGUGAGAAUCCCGUAUUUGACCAUUAUUUUCAGCUGUGUGAUACACUUUCAAAGAGUCGGAUUGUUUGGGAAUGCAGUCCAAAAUGGGUGGUAAAUUUCAUCUAAAGCUAAAUAUUGGCGAGAGACCGAUAGCGAACAAGUACCGUGAGGGAAAGAUGAAAAGAACUUUGAAAAGAGAGUUAAACAGUACGUGAAAUUGUCAAAAGGGAAGCGUUUGACACCAGUGUUGUUUUCUCGAAAAUCAAUUAAAAAAAGUUGGAUUUUGUGUUUGUAUGACCUUAACAGCUUCUUUCACUUUUUUCCUGCUUUUUUUAAUGCACUUUUCGUUUAACAAGUCAACAUCAGUUUCUUUUGUUGUAAAAAGGUCAUUGGAAGGUGGCUUUCUUUUCGGAGAAAGUGUUUAUAGCCUUUGACUCCUGCAAUCGGAGAGACUGAGGUCUGCAGCGUAGAUCCUUCGGGGUUAGCUACAUUUGUGCUAAGUUAUAGCUUUUCAUAGACAACUUGUUGACUACGUUUAGUCAUGUAGCUUACUCGCUUAUGCUAUUUUACCUACGCUUAGGAUGUUGAA